GGGAAAGAAUGAUGCUGAUGAAUUACAAACAGGCUCUGCGUGUCUUAAACCAGAUUCUCCAGCCAGAGCUCCAUUCAGCACUUCCACUCAGCACUCAGUGAUGGACGGGGGUCCUAAAGUAAAUUGCUUGAGAAGACUGGAUCCCGGAGAUUACAAAUUUGAAUUUGGAAUUUUGAAGUGUGUCCGUAUUCCACUGGAGAUCAAAGACGCUGAACCAAAAGAACUGUGAACUGGCCGACAUGACAGCCGUGGACUGGGCCAAGCUUCUUUUUGAGAGGGCAGCUUAGCUCGAUGAUUAUGACUUUGGUGGAACUAAGGUGACUGACAGUGGAAAGAACUGGGACAUGAAAGUCCUUAAAAAGUUAUUGAUGAUUUUGUUUAUGUUACACACCUUUACACUUUGUGCAGGAAAAAAAAGAAAGGACAGUGGUGUGGAAAUGGACUACAGGCUCCUCCGUCUGUGGAAUUCUCCAGGCAAGAAUACUGGAGUGGGUUGCCAUGCUCUCCUCCAGGGCCUCUUCCCAACCCAGGGAUUGAACCCACAUCUCUUGCAUCUCCUGCAUUGGCAGGCAGGUUCUUUACCACUGAGCCACCUGGAAAACCCAAUAAAAAUGCAGGUGUGGUCCAUCCUGUCCUGGGGGAUCCUAGACCUGAUAACUUCCCAGGGGAGCUCCAGGCAGCAGAUGGCAGUUUAACACAUGAACUUCUGGUCAAGCAGAGAAGCUGCAAGAGGACAAGGGCUUUGUCUGCUCACUGCUGCAUCCUUAGAACCAAAAACAUUUGUGAAAGGAAGGAAAGGAGGAAAGGAGGAAGGGAGGG
ensembl:lncRNA